rnacentral:rRNA from 1 species
GGUCAAGCUACUAAGGGUGUAUGGUGGAUGCCUUGGCAUCGAGAGGCGACGAAAGACGUGGCAGCCUGCGAUAAGCUCCGGGAAGCUGGCAAACAAGCGUUGAUCCGGAGAUUUCUGAAUGCGGAAACGCGGCUGGGUAAACCCCAGUCAUCCGACGCUGAAUGUAUAGGCGUUUGGAAGCGAACCCAGGGAAUUGAAACAUCUUAGUACCUGGAGGAAAAGAAAGAGACAUCGAUUCCGUAAGUAGCGGCGAGCGAAAGCGGACAUAGCCCAAACCAGGAUUCGUCCUGGGGUUGCGGAAGCACUGAGGGGUUACAAAACCAUUCCUAGCUGAAGUCUUCAGGAAUGCUGUCCCAUAGAGGGUGAAAGGCCCGUAAGCGACAGGAAUAGGUCCCCGUUAAUAUGUGCUCUCCAGAGUAGCAUCAGACUCGUGGAAUCUGGUGUGAAGCUGCCCGGCCCACCGGGCAAGGCUAAAUACUCCUCGAUGACCGAUAGUGAACAAGUAGGGCGAUUGAACGGUGAAAAGCACAGCUAUUAGCUGAGUUAAAAGUACCUGAAACCAUACACUUACAAGCGGUCGGAGCACUAUGGCCCGCAAGGGCAAUGUGUGACGGCGUACCUUUUGCAUAAUGGACCGGCGAGUGCAUGUCUGCAGCAAGGCUAAGGUGUCAAGCACCGGAGCCGUAGCGAAAGCGAGUCUUAAGAUGGCGUACAGUUGCAGGCUUGCGGCCCGAAACCUAGUGAUCUACCCGUGGUCAGUGUGAAUGUCCCGUAAAAGGGACAGGAGGCACGAAGCCGUGAACGUUGAAAAGUUCUGGCAUGAACUGCGGGGAGGAGUGAAAGUCUAAUCAAACUGGGAGAUAUCUGGUUCUCUUCGAAAUGCCUUUAGGGGCAGCCUGAAUUAACUACCCGCAGGGGGUAGAGCUACUGAAAGGAGACGUGGGGCUACCCGCCUACACGCUCCUAUCAAACUCCGAAUACCUGCGGGAUUAUGUUUGGAGUGAGUCCGCGAGGGAUAAUCUUCGCGGUCAAGAGGGAAACAACCCAGAUCGUCUGUUAAGGUCCCAAAAUUCAACUUAGUUCGGUAGGAAGUUAGUGUGCGGAGACAGCCAGGAUGUUGGCUUAGAAGCAGCCACCAUUUAAAAAGUGCGUAAUAGCUUACUGGUCGAGCACAGUAGCGCCGUAAAUGAUCGGGAAUAAGUUGGAUACCGAAACAGCGAGCUUGAGUAAUCAAGCGGUAGAAGAGCGUUGCACGCCGCGUCGAAGGCGUACCGUAAGGAGCGCUGGAGCGCGUGCAAGCGAGAAUGCCGGUAUGAGUAACGAUAAUGCAGGUGAAAAUCCUGCACGCCGAAAGCCUAAGGUUUCCUGGGGAAGGUAAAUCCGCCCAGGGUUAGUCGGAAGCUAAGACGAGGCCGAAAGGCGUAGUCGAUGCACAGCAGGUUAAUAUUCCUGCACUGGCUGUAAAGGUUGAACCCGCGCAUGUGUUUUUCCAAGGCAGAUCUCCCGAUUAGACGUGGGAGUUUCUUAUGGCGUAAGCCAUCGGAUCGAGGCCGCUUUGUUGCCGUAGUCUGUAGCGGAAGAGCCGAGAAAAGUGCGCGGGGGACAAUAGAGCCACCCGUACUAAAACUGACACAGGUAGGCGAGGAGAGUAUCCUCAGGCGCUCGAGAGAACUGCGGUUAAGGAACUAGGCAAUCUAACCCCGUAACUUCGGGAGAAGGGGUCCCUACUCGCAAGAGAGGGCGCAGGAAGCGGCCCGGGCGACUGUUUAUCAAAAACACAGUUCUGUGCUAACUCGUAAGAGGAUGUAUACAGAAUGACGCCUGCUCGGUGCCGGAAUGUUAAGGAAGUUGGUCAGGGAUUCGUCCCGAAGCUAGCAACCGAAGCACCGGUAAACGGCGGCCGUAACUAUGACGGUCCUAAGGUAGCGAAGUUCCUUGUCGGGUAAGUUCCGACGCGCAUGAACGGCGUAACGACUUGGGCGCUGUCUCGACCGCAGACUCGGUGAAAUUGAAGUGGCGGUGAAGAUACCGUCUACCCGCAGCAAGACGGAAAGACCCCGUGGACCUUUACUGUAGCCUGGUACUGAUGCCGGGUGUGGACUGCGUAGGAUAGGUGGGAGGCGUUAAUCCCUGGGUUUCGGCCCAGGGGGAGCCAACGGUGAAAUACCACCCUGUUUGCAUUCGUCAUCUCACCCUGACCCAUGAAUCUGGGCAGGGAACAGUGCUAGGUGGGCAGUUUGACUGGGGCGGUCUCCUCCGAAAGAGUAACGGAGGAGUGCAAAGGCAGGCUCAGUCCGGUUGGCAAUCGGACGUCGAGCGUAAAGGUAGAAGCCUGCUUGACUGCGAGUGCUACAGCACGAGCAGAGCUGAAAGGCGGCCUUAGUGAUCCUGUGGUUGCGUGUGGAAGCGCCAUAGCUCAACGGAUAAAAGGUACCCCGGGGAUAACAGGCUGAUCGCCCCCGAGCGACCAUAGCGGCGGGGCGGUUUGGCACCUCGAUGUCGGCCCAUCGCAUCCUGGGGCUGAAGGCGGUCCCAAGGGUUUGGCUGUUCGCCAAUUAAAGCGGUACGCGAGCUGGGUUCAGACCGGCGUGAGCCAGGUCGGUCCCUAUCUGCUGUGGGCGUAGGAAUCUUGACGGCACCUCUUCCAUAGUACGAGAGGAUUUGGAAGGACGGACCCCUGGUGUACCAGUUGUCGCGCUAGCGGCAUCGCUGGGUAGCUAUGUCCGGAACGAAUAAACGCUGAAAGCAUCUAAGCGUGAAGUCUAUGCCAAGACGAGGAUUCCAUGGGGGCUUGCCCCCGAGAGACCCCGGGUAGACCACCCGGUUGAUAGGCCGGAGCUGUACGGACCGAGAGGUCUUCAGGUUACCGGUACUAACGGUCAAUUGCUUGACCAC